GGCUCAUUAAAUCAGUUAUGGUUCCUUAGAUCGUACCCACACUUACUUGGAUAACUGUGGUAAUUCUAGAGCUAAUACAUGCAAACAGAGCUCCGACCGGAGACGGAAGGAGUGCUUUUAUUAGAUCAAAACCAAUCGGUGGCGGGCUCGCUCGUCAUCGUACAACUUGGUGACUCUGAAUAACUUUACGCUGAUCGCACGGUCUUCGCACCGGCGACGCAUCUUUCAAAUGUCUGCCUUAUCAACUGUCGAUGGUAGGUUCUGCGCCUACCAUGGUUGUAACGGGUAACGGGGAAUCAGGGUUCGAUUCCGGAGAGGGAGCCUGAGAAACGGCUACCACAUCCAAGGAAGGCAGCAGGCGCGCAAAUUACCCACUCCCGGCACGGGGAGGUAGUGACGAAAAAUAACGAUACGGGACUCAUCCGAGGCCCCGUAAUCGGAAUGAGUACACUCUAAACCCUUUAACGAGGAUCAAUUGGAGGGCAAGUCUGGUGCCAGCAGCCGCGGUAAUUCCAGCUCCAAUAGCGUAUAUUAAAGUUGUUGCGGUUAAAAAGCUCGUAGUCGAAUUUGUGUCUCGCGCCGCCGGUUCAUCGUCCGCGGUGUUAACUGGCGAGUCGCGAGACGUCCUGCCGGUGGGUCGGCCCGCAAGGGUCGCCCAACUCAAUCCUGCCGCGGUGCUCUUCAUUGAGUGUCGAGGUGGGCCGGCACGUUUACUUUGAACAAAUUAGAGUGCUUAAAGCAGGCUAAAACUUCGCCUGAAUACUGUGUGCAUGGAAUAAUGGAAUAGGACCUCGGUUCUAUUUUGUUGGUUUUCGGAACCCCGAGGUAAUGAUUAAUAGGAACGGAUGGGGGCAUUCGUAUUGCGACGUUAGAGGUGAAAUUCUUGGAUCGUCGCAAGACGGACAGAAGCGAAAGCAUUUGCCAAAAACGCUUUCAUUGAUCAAGAACGAAAGUUAGAGGUUCGAAGGCGAUCAGAUACCGCCCUAGUUCUAACCAUAAACGAUGCCAGCUAGCGAUCCGCCGACGUUCCUCCGAUGACUCGGCGGGCAGCUUCCGGGAAACCAAAGCUUUUGGGUUCCGGGGGAAGUAUGGUUGCAAAGCUGAAACUUAAAGGAAUUGACGGAAGGGCACCACCAGGAGUGGAGCCUGCGGCUUAAUUUGACUCAACACGGGAAACCUCACCAGGCCCGGACACCGGAAGGAUUGACAGAUUGAGAGCUCUUUCUUGAUUCGGUGGGUGGUGGUGCAUGGCCGUUCUUAGUUGGUGGAGCGAUUUGUCUGGUUAAUUCCGAUAACGAACGAGACUCUAGCCUGCUAAAUAGGCGUAUUUUGACAUCCUAAAGGCCCGCCGGCUUCGGGGUUCGCCUCGUUGACGUGCGCGGUUUUUACUGUCGGCGUACAAACUUUUCUUCUUAGAGGGACAGGCGGCUUCUAGCCGCACGAGAUUGAGCAAUAACAGGUCUGUGAUGCCCUUAGAUGUUCUGGGCCGCACGCGCGCUACACUGAAGGAAUCAGCGUGUCCUCCCUGGCCGAGCGGCCCGGGUAACCCGCUGAACCUCCUUCGUGCUAGG
rnacentral:rRNA from 1 species